CGAGAAUUUUUCACAAUGGGCGAAAGCCUGAUGGAGCGACGCCGCGUGGGGGAUGAAGGGCUUCGGCUCGUAAACCCCUGUCAUUUGCGAACAAAGGCGCCAACCUAACACGUUGUUGUCUGAUAGUAGCAGAAGAGGAAGGGACGGCUAACUCUGUGCCAGCAGCCGCGGUAAUACAGAGGUCCCAAGCGUUGUUCGGAUUCACUGGGCGUAAAGGGUGCGUAGGUGGUGAAUUAAGUCGGGUGUGAAAUCUCCGGGCUCAACCCGGAGCGUGCGCCCGAAACUGAUUUGCUAGAGGAUAGGAGGGGAGACUGGAAUUCUCGGUGUAGCAGUGAAAUGCGUAGAUAUCGAGAGGAACACCGGUGGCGAAGGCGAGUCUCUGGACUAUUCCUGACACUGAAUCACGAAAGCCGGGGGAGCAAAC
rnacentral:rRNA from 1 species